GACGAACGCUGGCGGCGUGCUUAACACAUGCAAGUCGAACGGAAAGGCCCUGCUUUUGUGGGGUGCUCGAGUGGCGAACGGGUGGGUAACACGUGAGUAACCUGCCCUUGACUUUGGGAUAACUUCAGGAAACUGGGGCUAAUACCGGAUAGGAGCUCCUGCUGCAUGGUGGGGGUUGGAAAGUUUCGGCGGUUGGGGAUGGACUCGCGGCUUAUCAGCUUGUUGGUGGGGUAGUGGCUUACCAAGGCUUUGACGGGUAGCCGGCCUGAGAGGGUGACCGGCCCAAUGGGAACUGGGAUACGGCCCAGACUCCUACGGGGGGCAGCAGUGGGGAAUAUGGCACAAUGGGCGGAAGCCGGAUGCAGCAACGCCGCGGGCGGGAUAACGGCUUUCGGUUGGUAAACCGCUUCCGCCUUGAACAAACCGGGAGUGACGGUAAGGGGUAAAGAGGCACCGGCUAACUACGGG
rnacentral:rRNA from 1 species